rnacentral:rRNA from 1 species
CGUCUAUAUACGUAUAGCAUAUCAAUAAGCGGAGGAAAAGAAACUAACUAGGAUUCCCUCAGUAACGGCGAGUGAAGCGGGAAGAGCUCAAAUUUGAAAUCUUCAAGGUUCUACCUUGACGAAUUGUAGUUUAAAGAAGUGUUUUCUGUUGGAGUUUUGGUAAAAGUUCUUUGGAAUAGGACAUCAUAGAGGGUGAGAAUCCCGUAUUUGACCAUUAUUUCCAACUUUGUGAUACACUUUCAAAGAGUCGGAUUGUUUGGGAAUGCAGUCCAAAAUGGGUGGUAAAUUUCAUCUAAAGCUAAAUACUGGCGAGAGACCGAUAGCGAACAAGUACCGUGAGGGAAAGAUGAAAAGAACUUUGAAAAGAGAGUUAAACAGUACGUGAAAUUGUCAAAAGGGAAGCGUUUGACACCAGUGUUGUUUUCUCGAAAAUCAAUUAAAAAUGGCGGGAUUUUGUGUUGUAUUGACUUUAUCAGCUUUCUGCACUUUUUUCCUGUCUUUUUUAAUGCACUUUUCGUUUAACAAGUCAACAUCAAUUUCUUUUGUUGUAAAAGGGUCAUUGGAAGGUGGCUUUCUUUUCGGAGAAAGUGUUUAUAGCCUUUGACUUCUGCAAUCGGAGAGAUUGAGGUCUGCAGCGUAGAUCCUUCGGGGUUAGAUGCAUUUGUGCUAAGUUAUAGCCUUUCAUAGACAACUUGUUGACUAUGAUCAGUCAUGUAGCUUACUCGCUUAUGUCAUUUUACCUACGCUUAGGAUGUUGACGAUCAGCUGAGCGCG